GACAGAGGGUGCAAACGUUGUUCGGAAUUACUGGGCGUAAAGCGCGUGUAGGCGGCCAUCUAAGUCGGGCGUGAAAUCCCACGGCUCAACCGUGGAAGUGCACUCGAAACUGGAUGGCUAGAGUCCUGGAGAGGAAGGUGGAAUGCUUGGUGUAGAGGUGAAAUUCGUAGAUAUCAAGCGGAACACCGGUGGCGGAAGGCGGCC
rnacentral:rRNA from 1 species